rnacentral:rRNA from 1 species
GAGCAACGCCGCGUGAGGGAUGAAGGCCUCUGGGCUGUAAACCUCUUUUAUCAAGGAAGAAGAUCUGACGGUACUUGAUGAAUAAGCCACGGCUAAUUCCGUGCCAGCAGCCGCGGUAAUACGGGAGUGGCAAGCGUUAUCCGGAAUUAUUGGGCGUAAAGCGUCCGCAGGCGGUCUUACAAGUCUGUCGUUAAAGCGUGGAGCUUAACUCCAUUUCGGCGAUGGAAACUGUAAGACUAGAGUGUGGUAGGGGCAGAGGGAAUUCCCGGUGUAGCGGUGAAAUGCGUAGAUAUCGGGAAGAACACCAGUGGCGAAGGCGCUCUGCUGGGCCAUAACUGACGCUCAUGGACGAAAGCUAGGGGAGCGAAAGGGAUUAGAUACCCCUGUAGUCCUAGCCGUAAACGAUGAACACUAGGUGUCGGGGGAAUCGACCCCCUCGGUGUCGUAGCCAACGCGUUAAGUGUUCCGCCUGGGGAGUACGCACGCAAGUGUGAAACUCAAAGGAAUUGACGGGGCCCGCACAAGCGGUGGAGUAUGUGGUUUAAUUCGAUGCAACGCGAAGAACCUUACCAGGGUUUGACAUCCUGCGAAUCCCUUGGAAACUUGGGAGUGCCUUCGGGAGCGCAGUGACAGGUGGUGCAUGGCUGUCGUCAGCUCGUGUCGUGAGAUGUUGGGUUAAGUCCCGCAACGAGCGCAACCCACGUCUUUAGUUGCCAGCAUUCAGUUGGGCACUCUAGAGAGACCGCCGGUGAUAAACCGGAGGAAGGUGUGGAUGACGUCAAGUCAUCAUGCCCCUUACAUCCUGGGCUACACACGUACUACAAUGCUACGGACAAAGGGCAGCAGACUCGCGAGAGCUAGCCAAUCCCAUAAACCGUGGCUCAGUUCAGAUCGUAGGCUGCAACUCGCCUACGUGAAGGAGGAAUCGCUAGUAAUCGCAGGUCAGCAUACUGCGGUGAAUACGUUCCCGGGCCUUGUACACACCGCCCGUCACACCAUGGAAGUUGGCCACGCCCGAAGUCGUUACUCCAACCCUUGUGGAGGAGGAUGCCGAAGGUGGGGCUGAUGACUGGGGUGAAGUCGUAACAAGGUAGCCGUACCGGAAGGUGC